UCUGAUCUAGUAGAGCAGUGGUUCCCAAACUGUUUCCGUUUCUGUUACUGUACCACCAACUGUUUCUGUUACUGUACCACUAACUGUUUCUGUUACUGUCCCACCAACUGUUUCUGUUACUGUCCCACCAACUGUUUCUGUUACUGUCCCACCAACUGUUUCUGUUACUGUACCACCAACUGUUUCUGUUACUGUCCCACCAACUGUUUCUGUUACCGUACCACCAACUGUUUCUGUUACUGUCCCACCAACUGUUUCUGUUACUGUACCACCAACUGUUUCUGUUACUGUCCCACCAACUGUUUCUGUUACUGUCCCACCAACUGUUUCUGUUACUGUACCACCAACUGUUUCUGUUACUGUCCCACCAACUGUUUCUGGUACUGUACCACCAACUGUUUCUGUUACCGUCCCACCAACUGUUUCUGUUACUGUACCACCAACUGUUUCUGUUACUGUCCCACCAACUGUUUCUGGUACCGUCCCACCAACUGUUUCUGGUACUGUACCACCAACUGUUUCUGUUACUGUCCCACCAACUGUUUCUGUUACUGUCCCACCAACUGUUUCUGUUACUGUCCCACCAACUGUUUCUGUUACUGUACCACCAACUGUUUCUGUUACUGUACCACCAACUGUUUCUGUUACCGUACCACCAACUGUUUCUGUUACUGUCCCACCAACUGUUUCUGUUACUGUCCCACCAACUGUUUCUGUUACUGUCCCACCAACUGUUUCUGUUACUGUCCCACCAACUGUUUCUGUUACUGUACCACCAACUGUUUCUGUUACUGUACCACCAACUGUUUCUGUUACCGUCCCACCAACUGUUUCUGUUACUGUCCCACCAACUAUUUCUGUUACCGUCCCACCAACUGUUUCUGUUACCGUACCACCAACUGUUUCUGUUACUGUCCCACCAACUGUUUCUGUUACUGUCCCACCAACUGUUUCUGUUACUGUCCCACCAACUGUUUCUGUUACUGUCUCACCAACUGUUACUGUCCUACCAACUGUUUCUGUUACUGUCCCACCAACUGUUUCUGUUACCGUCCCACCAACUGUUUCUGUUACUGUCCCACCAACUGUUUCUGUUACUGUCUCACCAACUGUUUCUGUUACUGUCCCACCAACUGUUUCUGUUACUGUCCCACCAACUGUUUCUGUUACCGUCCCACCAACUGUUUCUGUUACCGUCCCACCAACUGUUUCUGUUACCGUCCCACCAACUGUUUCUGUUACUGUACCACCAACUGUUUCUGUUACCGUCCCACCAACUGUUUCUGUUACUGUCCCACCAACUGUUUCUGUUACUGUACCACCAACUGUUUCUGUUACUGUACCACCAACUGUUUCUGUUACCGUACCACCAACUGUUUCUGUUACCGUACCACCAACUGUUUCUGUUACCGUCCCACCAACUGUUUCUGUUACCGUCCCACCAACUGCUUCUGUUACCGUACCACCAACUGUUUCUGUUACCGUACCACCAACUGUUUCUGUUACCGUACCACCAACUGUUUCUGUUACCGUACCACCAACUGUUUCUGUUACCGUACCACCAACUGUUUCUGUUACCGUACCACCAACUGUUUCUGUUACUGUCGCACCAACUGUUUCUGUUACUGUCCCACCAACUGUUUAUGUUACUGUCCCACCAACUGUUUCUGUUACUGUCCCACCAACUGUUUCUGUUACUGUCCCACCAACUGUUUCUGUUACUGUACCACCAACUGUUUCUGUUACUGUACCACCAACUGUUUCUGUUACUGUACCACCAACUGUUUCUGUUACUGUACCACCAACUGUUUCUGUUACUGUACCACCAACUGUUUCUGUUACUGUUCUAGUACCCCUUCUGUCCUAGUACCCCUGUGGAAAGUCCUAGUACCCCUGUGUAUAGUCCUAGUACCCCUGUGUAUAGUCCUAGUACCCCUGGUUGUGGAAACCUGUAGUAGAGAAGGUGCUGUGCUAUAG
rnacentral:lncRNA from 1 species